rnacentral:rRNA from 1 species
CCUACGGGAGGCAGCAGUGAGGAAUAUUGGUCAAUGUACGAGAGUCUGAACCAGCCACGUAGCGUGAAGGAUGACUGCCCUAUGGGUUGUAAACUUCUUUUAUAAAGGAAUAAAACGAGGCACGUUUGCCUUUUUACAUGUACUUUAUGAAUAAUGAUCGGCUAACUCCGUGCCAGCCGCCUCGGUAAUACGGAGGAUCCGAGCGUUAUCCGGAUUUAUUGGGUUUACAGGUAGCGUAGAUGGGUUGUUAAGUCAGUUGUGAAAGUUUGCGGCGCAACCGUAAAAGUGCAAUUGAUACUGGCAGUCUUGAGUACAGUUGAGGUAGGCGGAAUUCGUGGUGUAGCGGUGAAAUGCUUAGAUAUCACGAAGAACCCCGAUUGCGAAGGCAGCUUACUAAACUGUGACUGACAUUGAUGCUCGAAAGUGUGGGUAUCAAACAGGAGUAGAUACCCGUGUAGUC